UAAUUCUAGGGAGGUAGUGACUAGAAAUAACGAUUCGAGAUGCUUUGCAUUUUGAAAUUGGAAUGAGAACAAUUUAAAUCCCUUAUCGAGGAUCAAUUGGAGGGCAAGUCUGGUGCCAGCAGCCGCGGUAAUUCCAGCUCCAAUAGCGUAUAUUAAAGUUGUUGCAGUUAAAAAGCUCGUAGUUGGAUUGGUGUUGGUUAUGUUUAUUUGGGAAAUUCUCAAAGCGACGUUAACCAAUAUAUUUGGGAUUUGGUCUAGAAUGGCAUUCAGUUGUUGAUUUAGUUCCAGCCCAUCGUUUACUGUGAAAAAAUUAGAGUGUUUAAAGCAGGUUUUGUAACCGUUGAAUACAUUAGCAUGGAAUAAUAAUAUAUGACUCGUAUGGUCUAUUUUGUUGGUUUGCACGUAUGAGUAAUGAUUAAUAGGGACAGUUGGGGGUAUUCAUAUUUGAGCGUCAGAGGUGAAAUUCUUGGAUUUACGAAAGACAAACUACUGCGAAAGCAUUUACCAAGGAUGUUUUCAUUAAUCAAGAACGAAAGUUAGGGGAUCGAAGAUGAUUAGAUACCAUCGUAGUCUUAACCAUAAACUAUGCCGACUCAGGAUCCGCGAUUGUUUUUUGACGUCGUGGGCACUGUAUGAGAAAUCAAAGUCUUUGGGUUCCGGGGGGAGUAUGGUCGCAAGGCUGAAAUCCAU
rnacentral:rRNA from 1 species